UGGGAUGUAGCUCAGUGGUAGAGUGCUUGCCUAACAUGCAAGAGGUCCUGGGUUCAAUCCCCAAUACUAG
rnacentral:tRNA from 1 species